rnacentral:rRNA from 1 species
UACGUAGGGGGCAAGCGUUGUCCGGAAUCAUUGGGCGUAAAGAGCGUGUAGGCGGCUCGAUAAGUCUGCUGUGAAAGUCCAGGGCUCAACCCUGGAAGGCCGGUGGAAACUGUCGGGCUAGAGUCCGGAAGAGGCGAGUGGAAUUCCCGGUGUAGCGGUGAAAUGCGCAGAUAUCGGGAGGAACACCAAUGGCGAAGGCAGCUCGCUGGGACGGUACUGACGCUGAGACGCGAAAGCGUGGGGAGCAACAGGG